CCUACGGGAGGCAGCAGUGAGGAAUAUUGGACAAUGGGCGCAAGCCUGAUCCAGCCAUGCCGCGUGCAGGAAGAAGCAUCUAUGGUGUGUAAACUGCUUUUGUACAGGAAGAAACACUCCCUCGUGAGGGAGCUUGACGGUACUGUAAGAAUAAGGACCGGCUAACUCCGUGCCAGCAGCCGCGGUAAUACGGAGGGUCCGAGCGUUAUCCGGAAUCAUUGGGUUUAAAGGGUCCGUAGGCGGUUUAAUAAGUCAGUGGUGAAAUCUGGUCGCUCAACGAUCAAACGGCCAUUGAUACUGUUAGACUUGAAUUAUAAGGAAGUAACUAGAAUAUGUAGUGUAGCGGUGAAAUGCUUAGAUAUUACAUGGAAUACCAAUUGCGAAGGCAGGUUACUACUUAUGGAUUGACGCUGAUGGACGAAAGCGUGGGGAGCGAACAGGAUUAGAUACCCUGGUAGUCCACGCCGUAAACCGAUGGAUACUAGCUGUUCGGAGCAAUCUGAGUGGCUAAGCGAAAGUGAUAAGUAUCCCACCUGGGGAGUACGUUCGCAAGAANGAAACGUCAAAUGAAUUGACGG
rnacentral:rRNA from 1 species